UUUGCAGAGGAUGCUUCGGGUGCGGUCCCCGUCUAAGUGCCCUGGAACGGGCCGUCAUAGAGGGUGAGAAUCCCGUCUGGGAUGGGCGGCCGCGCCCGUGUGAAGCUCCUUCGACGAGUCGAGUUGUUUGGGAAUGCAGCUCUAAGCGGGUGGUAAAUUUCAUCUAAAGCUAAAUACUGGCCGGAGACCGAUAGCGCACAAGUAGAGUGAUCGAAAGAUGAAAAGCACUUUGAAAAGAGAGUUAAACAGCACGUGAAAUUGUUGAAAGGGAAGCGUUGUCCACCAGACUCGCCCGGGGGGGUUCAGCCGGCACGUGUGCCGGUGUACUCCUCUCCGGGCGGGCCAGCAUCGGUUUGGGCGGUUGGUGAAAGGCCCCGGGAAUGUAACACCCUCCGGGGUGCCUUAUAGCCCGGGGUGCCAUACAGCCAGCCUGGACCGAGGCCCGCGCUUCGGCGAGGAUGCUGGCGUA
rnacentral:rRNA from 1 species